UAGCAACUUUAGUAUAUCUAAUUUAUUUUAAUAAUUUUGAGUAUUUUAAUAGAAAGGUCAAAUAAUUUUUAUUGAAUUUAUUAAGACGUGUACUUUGCUUAUGUGUAUCUGCCUUUUAGUUAUAAUAUAAUAUUUUUAAUAUGUUAAGAGAAUAUAAUAUUUAUUUUGGUUGUUUUUUUUCAUUGAUUUAUUUUAAUUUUUAUAUUUUACAUUUAUAUUUCUUUUAUCAAAUAAUUAAAAAUAUGUAUCACAGUUGAUUGCAGCUUGGUUAUUUUUUACUUUUUUUUUUUGAAAACUUUGAGUAUUUUGCAGAAAGGUCAAAUAUAAAUUUUAUUGAAUUAUUUAGACGUGUUUGUAUGUGUGUGUUUGAGGUUCUUUUAGUUAUAAUGUAUAUUUAAUAUGUAGAGAAAACAUAAUUUUUAUUUUAUUUUAUUUUCUCAUUUAUUUUACUUUGAUUUUUAUAUAUGUUAUACCUUUCAAUUGAAUGAUUAAAAAUACGUGUCAUGUUUAAUUGUAACUUGGAAUUUUUUUUAUUUUUUUCACAACUUGAUAAUUUUUUAAAAAGCCAAAAUAAUUUUUGGUAGAAGUUACAUAGACGAGUAUAUUACUUAAUUAGACGUAUAAUGGUAAGUAGAUUAUGGAAUAAUCACAAUAUUGUACGUAAUAAUAAAAUAUGAGCAUAUUUUUCAACAUAAAAUAAAAUAUUUUUAAUUAAAUAAUAUAUAUUAAGUUCAUGUGUACCUACAACUAACAAAAAUAAUCUUAAUUAAUAUUUUAUUUGAAAAAUUCUAUUAAUCUAAUUAAAUUUUAAAUAAAAUACAAUAAAUUAAUCAUAAUUUAUUUUAAAUAAACUAAUAUGAAAUAAUUGUAAAAGCCAGAACAGUAAUAUCAAGUUCAGAGUUGCAGUUGGGUGCUUUCUCCUCCCACGUCUCAUCUCCUCCCACGUUCUGGUAACAAUCCCUUCUAUAUACGUAUAUUGUGAUUUGGGCUAAAGCUGCAGAUGUGAAGAAUAAUGUAAGUGAAGCGUGGGAGAGAAGUAACUGAAGUUGUUUGGGAGGGCAAUGACUUAGAGGGUAAAGGCUAAUAGUAAUACAGUGAAGAAGGAUACAAUGUUGAAGGCUGGCAAUAGUGAAGUGACGACUAAUACUAGGCCACCCGCACCUAAGAAGUCGCCUGCAGUUGGAUUGGUUGCUCCAUCAAAUCCAGUGAGUAAAGCAGGAAAUAAAGGAGCGAAGGACCCUAAGCAGCACCAUAUCCUAUCAUUUUUCAAGAAGGUUUAAUAAGCUACAAAAUGAAGAUUUUUCUGCCUUUUGCUAAAUUCAGGUCUUCAGAACAAUCUAUUUUUUAAGUGUCUUUCUCUGUUGUAUUUAAAGGUGCUUAUCAGUGUCUAGGAUUAUUGUUUUUGUAUCCCAUUAAGGAUGAUGUAAACUUUGAUGUUAAUUAAGAAUUCUUCUAUUGU